rnacentral:lncRNA from 1 species
CGGCGGAGGAAGGGAGAGAACAGGGGCUGGAGGAUCCACAGCUCACCAAAGUUCCUUUUUGGUAGUCUUUGGUGGAUGAAGAGGCCAGGACAGAGGGGUUCACCGGCAGCACCCAAGCUCAGGGCCAGCGGCAAUGGCAGGCGGGGAUUCUUCAAUCCCUGGUUGAAGGAGCCAUGGACGACAACGGGAGGAGGUUGCAGGUGGAGGUUGGGAGGUGGGGAAGGCUCUAACGGUGGUUAUUAGGGAAUGGUGUCCAGAGUUGGGAGGGGAAGGUGUUGGAGGUAUACCCUAGAAGAAAUCAUAGAGAUGAUGAUAUUCCAUUUGUAUCCAUGAUUUAUGUUGUGUUCCUUGAAUAUCCAUUAAAGGCUAUUUGAAUUGAUUUGCAAUUAUGUGAAUUGUGUGUGAAACUCUUUACUUGUAUGGUUGUUCUAAAGUUGUCCCUAGUCGGAGUUCAUGUGAGGACACACAUGAAUAUUAGACUAGCACAUGUAUUAGUUGAUGACUAUGUUUCACAAGUCAUGGACAUGGAGAUGUUGAACUAAUAAUGUGGGCACAUGUGGAGACAUGUGCUAGGACUGACCCAACACAAGAAGUAGUUCUCUUUUUUAAACAACAUAUACGCUUUGUCCUUAGACCUGAGAUUGUCGCAUGUAUUCAAGAUGUGGAUCGACCUACUUAGGGGCUAUCAAACGCUACGCCGUAACAGGGUAGUUAUAAAGGUAGCUUUCGGGUUUGUCAAGAAACAUGCUAUGAGACAUGGUCAAUAAAGAUGGGAUUUGCCCCUCUCUGAUUGAGAGUGAUAUCUCUGGGCCCCUCGAGUAAUCGGAUCUGAAAAUGCAUGGCCAUGCUACGUACGAUUAAGAGUUAUC